rnacentral:tRNA from 4 species
GGAGGGAUGGCAGAGCGGACGAUUGCGACGGUCUUGAAAACCGUUGAGGUGCAAGCCUCCGGGGGUUCGAAUCCCCCUCCCUCCGCCA